rnacentral:rRNA from 1 species
GGUUAAGCGAACAAGCGUACACGGUGGAUGCCCUGGCAGUCAGAGGCGAUGAAGGACGUGCUAAUCUGCGAAAAGCGCCGGUAAGGUGAUAUGAACCGUUAUAACCGGCGAUGUCCGAAUGGGGAAACCCGGUGCACUUCGGUGCAUCAUCGUUAGCUGAAUACAUAGGCUAACGAGGCGAACCGGGGGAACUGAAACAUCUAAGUACCCCGAGGAAAAGAAAUCAACCGAGAUUCCCCCAGUAGCGGCGAGCGAACGGGGAACAGCCCAGAGCCUGAAUCAGCUUGUGUGUCAGUGGAACGGUCUGGAAAGGCCGGCGAUACAGGGUGACAGCCCCGUACACGAAGGCACACAGGCUGUGAGCUCGAUGAGUAGGGCGGGACACGUGAUAUCCUGUCUGAAGAUGGGGGGACCAUCCUCCAAGGCUAAAUACUCCUGACUGACCGAUAGUGAACCAGUACCGUGAGGGAAAGGCGAAAAGAACCCCGGCGAGGGGAGUGAAACAGAACCUGAAACCGUGUACGUACAAGCAGUGGGAGCCUUCGUAAGAGGGUGACUGCGUACCUUUUGUAUAAUGGGUCAGCGACUUAUAUUCUGUAGCAAGGUUAACCGUAUAGGGGAGCCGAAGGGAAACCGAGUCUUAAUUGGGCGUUAAGUUGCAGGGUAUAGACCCGAAACCCGGUGAUCUAGCCAUGGGCAGGUUGAAGGUUGGGUAACACUAACUGGAGGACCGAACCGACUAAUGUUGAAAAAUUAGCGGAUGACCUGUGGCUGGGGGUGAAAGGCCAAUCAAACCGGGAGAUAGCUGGUUCUCCCCGAAAGCUAUUUAGGUAGCGCCUCGUGAACUCAUCUCCGGGGGUAGAGCACUGUUUCGGCUAGGGGGCCAUCCCGGCUUACCAACCCGAUGCAAACUGCGAAUACCGGAGAAUGUUAUCACGGGAGACACACGGCGGGUGCUAACGUCCGUCGUGAAGAGGGAAACAACCCAGACCGCCAGCUAAGGUCCCAAAGUCAUGGUUAAGUGGGAAACGAUGUGGGAAGGCCCAGACAGCCAGGAUGUUGGCUUAGAAGCAGCCAUCAUUUAAAGAAAGCGUAAUAGCUCACUGGUCGAGUCGGCCUGCGCGGAAGAUGUAACGGGGCUAAACCAUGCACCGAAGCUGCGGCAGCGACGCUUAUGCGUUGUUGGGUAGGGGAGCGUUCUGUAAGCCUGUGAAGGUGUGCUGUGAGGCAUGCUGGAGGUAUCAGAAGUGCGAAUGCUGACAUAAGUAACGAUAAAGCGGGUGAAAAGCCCGCUCGCCGGAAGACCAAGGGUUCCUGUCCAACGUUAAUCGGGGCAGGGUGAGUCGACCCCUAAGGCGAGGCCGAAAGGCGUAGUCGAUGGGAAACAGGUUAAUAUUCCUGUACUUGGUGUUACUGCGAAGGGGGGACGGAGAAGGCUAUGUCGGCCGGGCGACGGUUGUCCCGGUUUAAGCGUGUAGGCUGACUUUCCAGGCAAAUCCGGAAGGUUAAGGCUGAGGCGUGAUGACGAGGCACCACGGUGCUGAAGUGACAAAUGCCCUGCUUCCAGGAAAAGCCUCUAAGCAUCAGGUAACAUCAAAUCGUACCCCAAACCGACACAGGUGGUCAGGUAGAGAAUACCAAGGCGCUUGAGAGAACUCGGGUGAAGGAACUAGGCAAAAUGGUGCCGUAACUUCGGGAGAAGGCACGCUGACAUGUAGGUGAAGCCCCUGCGGGUGGAGCUGAAGUCAGUCGAAGAUACCAGCUGGCUGCAACUGUUUAUUAAAAACACAGCACUGUGCAAACACGAAAGUGGACGUAUACGGUGUGACGCCUGCCCGGUGCCGGAAGGUUAAUUGAUGGGGUUAUCGCAAGAGAAGCUCCUGAUCGAAGCCCCGGUAAACGGCGGCCGUAACUAUAACGGUCCUAAGGUAGCGAAAUUCCUUGUCGGGUAAGUUCCGACCUGCACGAAUGGCGUAAUGAUGGCCAGGCUGUCUCCACCCGAGACUCAGUGAAAUUGAACUCGCUGUGAAGAUGCAGUGUACCCGCGGCAAGACGGAAAGACCCCGUGAACCUUUACUACAGCUUGACACUGAACAUUGAGCCUUGAUGUGUAGGAUAGGUGGGAGGCUUUGAAGCGUGGACGCCAGUCUGCGUGGAGCCGACCUUGAAAUACCACCCUUUAAUGUUUGAUGUUCUAACCUGGCGCCGUAAUCCGGCGUGGGGACAGUGUCUGGUGGGUAGUUUGACUGGGGCGGUCUCCUCCCAAAGUGUAACGGAGGAGCACGAAGGUCAGCUAAUCCUGGUCGGACAUCAGGAGGUUAGUGCAAUGGCAUAAGCUGGCUUGACUGCGAGAGUGACGGCUCGAGCAGGUGCGAAAGCAGGUCAUAGUGAUCCGGUGGUUCUGUAUGGAAGGGCCAUCGCUCAACGGAUAAAAGGUACUCCGGGGAUAACAGGCUGAUACCGCCCAAGAGUUCAUAUCGACGGCGGUGUUUGGCACCUCGAUGUCGGCUCAUCACAUCCUGGGGCUGAAGUAGGUCCCAAGGGUAUGGCUGUUCGCCAUUUAAAGUGGUACGCGAGCUGGGUUUAGAACGUCGUGAGACAGUUCGGUCCCUAUCUGCCGUGGGCGCUGGAGAAUUGAGGGGGGCUGCUCCCAGUACGAGAGGACCGGAGUGGACGCAUCACUGGUGUUCGGGUUGUCAUGCCAAUGGCACUGCCCGGUAGCUAAAUGCGGAAGAGAUAAGUGCUGAAAGCAUCUAAGCACGAAACUUGCCCCGAGAUGAGUUCUCCCUGAGACUAUAAGUCUCCUGAAGGAACGUUGAAGACGACGACGUUGAUAGGCCGGGUGUGUAAGCGCAGCGAUGCGUUGAGCUAACCGGUACUAAUGAACCGUGAGGCUUAACCUU